GAUGAACGCUAGCGGCAGGCCUAACACAUGCAAGUCGAGGGGCAGCACAGGUAGCAAUACUGGGUGGCGACCGGCGCACGGGUGAGUAACGCGUAUGCAACCUACCUUUAACAGGAGAAUAGCCCCGAGAAAUCGGGAUUAAUACUCCAUAUCAUUUAUGAAUCGCAUGGUUUAUAAAUAAAGUUCCGACGGUUAAAGAUGGGCAUGCGUGACAUUAGCUAGUUGGUGAGGUAACGGCCCACCAAGGCUACGAUGUCUAGGGGUUCUGAGAGGAUUAUCCCCCACACUGGUACUGAGACACGGACCAGACUCCUACGGGAGGCUG
rnacentral:rRNA from 1 species